AACUAACAAGGAUUCCCCUAGUAACUGCGAGUGAAGCGGGAAAAGCUCAAAUUUAAAAUCUGUCAGUCUUUGGCUGUCCGAGUUGUAAUCUAGAGAAGCGUUAUCCGCGCUGGACCGUGUACAAGUCUCCUGGAAUGGAGCGUCAUAGAGGGUGAGAAUCCCGUCUUUGACACGGACUGCCAGGGCUUUGUGAUGCGCUCUCAAAGAGUCGAGUUGUUUGGGAAUGCAKCUCAAAAUGGGUGGUAAAUUCCAUCUAAAGCUAAAUAUUGGCGAGAGACCGAUAGCGAACAAGUACCGUGAGGGAAAGAUGAAAAGAACUUUGGAAAGAGAGUUAAACAGUACGUGAAAUUGCUGAAAGGGAAACGCUUGAAGUCAGUCGCGUUGUCCAGGGAUCAACCUUGCUUUUGCUUGGUGUACUUUCUGGUUGACGGGUCAGCAUCAAUUUUGACUAUUGGAAAAAGAUUAAGGGAAUGUGGCAUCUUUGGAUGUGUUAUAGCCCUUGGUUGCAUACAAUGGUUGGGAUUGAGGAACUCAGCACGCCGCAAGGCCGGGUUUUUAACCACGUACGUGCUUAGGAUGCUGGCAUAAUGGCUUUAAUCGACCCGUCUUGAAACACGGACCAAGGAGUCUAACAUGCCUGCGAGUGUUUGGGUGGAAAACCCGAGCGCGUAAUGAAAGUGAAAGUUGAGAUCCCUGUCGUGGGGAGCAUCGACGCCCGGACCAGACCUUUUGUGACGGUUCCGCGGUAGAGCAUGUAUGUUGGGACCCGAAAGAUGGUGAACUAUGCCUGAAUAGGGUGAAGCCAGAGGAAACUCUGGUGGAGGCUCGUAGCGAUUCUGACGUGCAAAUCGAUCGUCAAAUUUGGGUAUAGGGGCGAAAGACUAAUCGAACCAUCUAGUAGCUGGUUCCUGC
rnacentral:rRNA from 1 species